UUCUCCUCCUCUCCACAUAGAGAUUCUUCACCUCUUCCAUAUUUUUUCCUUCUAUAAUCCUUUUAUUUCUUUUCCAAUAAUUCCUUUUUUUCAACAGUGAGCAUAGCUUCAGUGGAUGCUCGUGCUCGUGCAUACUCCCCCAGAUGAGCAAAUCUGAAGUUACAGAUUAAGAGUUGCGAUUGGAACGGGGCGCUUUUCCAGGAAGCUAUGAACAGGGCGACUGAUGGCGUGGACGCAACUACUGAAACUCCUUUGGUGGCGUAGUUUAUAGG